rfam:Actinoplanes friuliensis DSM 7358, complete genome.
AAGGUUCCGGUUCACGCUCGAGUCGUCCGCCCUAGCGGGGCGGUUCGGUGCUGACGGCGACCCGGCGACC